UGGAGAACCCAAAACAGCUGGAAGUCAGUGCAGCCUGCGUCUGGCUCCUGUGCACAUCCUGACCUGACUGUAGAUGCAGAAUCAGGCAGGCCAGGACCCUCUGACAGCACGGUUCACAGCUGAAAGCAGCCGAGAGAACCAGGUGCCCAGAAGGAGGGCCCCCAGCACAGCGGAAGCCAUGCAGCAUUGAGCGCUGUUGUGCACCGGCCCUCAGGCUGCCCACUGCAGCUCAAUUGAGAACAAGCAUGGCACAGAGAAACAGUAAAAAAUUGGCCCAUCAUCCACCAGCUGCAGAUGCCCACCCACGGACUUGUGUGAAUCAUUCAAACAAGGAGAAACCCCUGGGAAUACAUGCCAU
rnacentral:lncRNA from 1 species